UUAUAACCACUGUAAUUCUCUUAUGAAUAACCAAAGGAGUUAAAAGCGUUUAUAUGUAAACGUUUAUAUUGCCAUAACUGUAAGCCGCCUUAGUCAUUUUAAAAUUUUUAAAUACACCAGUAGACUCAAAAAAUCGUGAUGGCUCUGUGAGGAGUUUCUCAAAGUGAGGAGAAUCAUGAAAUGAGAUCUGCCCAGGCCAGAUCCAUCGAACACACCUAAGCAAAAUGUGUACACGGAAGGAACUACAGCUUUUCCACUGAACUCCAGGGCUUUGCACAGUGCCAGUCACACAGCCACUUUGAAAGCUGAGCACGUCCACAUGUCUGUAGCCUCCUUCUGAGAAAAGCAGCCAUGGGAAAUGAUUUCUGCCAAGGCCACCAUGCUGUGUUCUGUGAGACCCACUAUCACGGCCAAGGCUGAUUGGUCAAGAGGUUGGUGCCUGAGCCAAGCCACCUGCCAGAAACCAGCAGGCCUCGGGAGUAGCCUGACAGGACAGCCUUGCCGGGCGGGGGGCUCUGUGCUGGACAGGAAGUGACUAAACCAAUGACAUUCUCAAGGAGCUUCAAUACUUCCAAGAGUCAGAAAUCAAGAGAAUGAUAUGGAAGCCAAAGUCACAGAGAGAAAACUCAACAUAAGGAGGUCCUAAGACAGCAGAAACCACAAGUCACAGAGAAGAGUGGAAACAGCAGACACUCAGUAGCAGGAAAGCUACAAUCCCUAGAGAGACUGAGGAAGGAUACGCUUAUUCAGGGCUAUGACUGAGUCUUGAAGACAGGAAUAAAAGUGGAUUUAAAUUUGGUUACCCAUGUGAAGAUCCUACAGUCAAAUAAGGCCACACUGCAAAGUAGUGGGGUUUAGGACUCCAACAUAUGGAUUUUUAGGUGGCAAAAUUCAACCCAUAACAGUGUCAUUGUCAUUGUGACUGGCAUCCUUAUCGAAGGGGGAAACUUGGAGACAGAGCGCUCACAGGAAGAACGUCCCAUUAAGAUAAAGGCAAAGAUUGGGGUGAUGCACCUAUAAGCCAAGGAAGCCUCCAAAUUGCCAGCAAACUACCAGAAGCUAGUGGAGGACCGCAGAGCAAAUUUUCUCUUUCACAAUCCUCAGAAGGAAGCAACCCCGUGGACACUUUGCUCUCAGACUUCUAGCCUGCAGAAGUGAGAGACGAUAAAUGUCUGUUACUUCCCCAGUUUAUGAUACAUGGUUAAAAGCCCUAGCAAAACAACCCAGGCACGGAGCGCUACUGUUGAGUGAGAAACAUCUGCUCUGUUCCUUGAGGCUGACUAUUUGGCUACUGAAAGGCUUUCUGUCUUCUCUCCCGCUCAUGUAUCCCCACAAUAACUCCCAUAACCUUAGACAACCCGAGCCUGUCUGCUCCCUGGAACCUGAAAGAACUUCAGUAAGUCAGUUGGAGUGCAGCAGUGUUGGGGAAUGAGUAAAUGAAGCAGUUGGAAGCAAAGAAGCUGCUGCUUUGGGACCCGCAAAUCAGAGGAUCAGGAAAUGUGAAACAACUUUCCUGACAGCUUCAGGGAGUGGCAUCCAGCCAGAAACGGCUUGGCAGAGCUGGAGGAGGAUAGCAGUGCUCUUUUUCCAACCUGGAAACAGCCCGUUCAGUCAACAACUCACCUCCAGUGCCUUUUCCUAAAGCAUUUACAGUCAGAAGAACAAAUUCAGCCCCUAGGGAAUGGCAAGAUCACAAGAUGGAAGGGGCCUUGGAGUCUUCUGCCUGAUGCCCUGCGUGCAACCUGCAGAUGGAGGAAGGGAAUGGGGCCAUUCCCAGCAGAAGUAAUGCUGAGCCAGGCCAAAGACGACAUCUGAUCUAAGCCAAAAGGCUGAAAAGCGAUUAAGCCAAAGACUGAUGCACACAACUUCCACUCAUAUCCUAUUGGCCAGAACUCAAUCACAUCACCACGCCUAAUUGCAGGGCAGAGUGGGAAAUGGGCUCCUGCUGUGGGGCCAGGUAGAAAAAAAGCAGAUGUGGGUAAGCACUAACAGCUUCUACCCCAGAAAACUAAGGGACUCAAGAUUCAAGCCCAGCAUCAGAGAACUUUAGAAGCAGAGUGCUAAGACACUUUUCUCUUCCAUUAUCUCUCGCAAGCUUCCUAUUUUCCCUUCUUCACUCUAAACUACUGUGACCCAUUAGCAACUGCAGCUUCUCCUACUAACCUAUGCCAAUAUUACCUGAAGAGUUAGACUCAAAUCUCUAAAGUAUAUCCUUUAUCUUUUUUGAGAAAAAAAAAAUACUCAAAAUGUAUUUCUUGCCCUAUAGGUGUAUUAGAAAAUGUCAUUUCCAUUGCAUGAAACAGUUUCCCUUCAGGAAGAAUGUAUUGCCAGAUAACCUUCGACAAUCAAUUCUCUGAACACAUUUAAGGUUUUUAAGUUACUUGUAAAUAUUGUAUUUACAGAAAUGAUUUAUAAUAAAUUAGGAUCAUAGAUUUGAUAAAGCAGAGUUAAUCUAUGGUACAUUGAGUGUGAACACAAAUUGUCUUUCAUUAAUUAAUUAAUUCAUUCAACAAAUAUGUACUAAACACCUAUUAAGUUUUGCUGCAUACCAAACCCAAGACCCAAAGGCCAAACACCAAUAAAUACAAUACAGUUUUAUAUGAUGAAAAUAUUAAAUAAGAUUUUAUAAGACAAUCUUGGAUCAAAAAUCUGGGCCUAUUUUCCUUCCUGACAGUGUUCCCAUACCUCAGCAAAUCAGAAAGUACAAGUUUAAGUUACAUUUAGUUCUGUCUAUCAAAUGUGGACAGAAGACUGUUCUCUAUAAUCACAGGGCCCCAGAAUAAUGUAACUAACUCACAGAAACUGACCCAUUUUCUGAAUUCCCUUCAGUUUACGAUUAUCAGAGUUGGCAACUAGUUCUUACUUCCCUAAGACCCUCAAGACUAGCAAUCAAGAUUCAAAUACAUCAAGAUCACCCACAACAACUCAGUUCUUAAAAUUCACUCUGAAAAUUCCAUUCUUUUCUAUGUAAACCUAAGAUCCUGAGGAGUAUAUCAUUCCAGUGGUUUAUAAACAUUGCCAAUCAUCAGGAUCACCUGGAAAUUCAUAUUCAAAUAAAUUUUAUAAAUUUCAAAUCUAUAUUCCACAUCUUUUAAAUCAGAAUCUUGAAGACAGAGGUCUGGCAAUUCGUGAUCUUGAAAAUUUACCCUAGUUAAUUCUUACAAUGUGCCCAGGCAUUAAGAAACAUUGCAUCUUUUAAACUUGCCCACUAUUGGUUAGAUCUACCUUAGGAUACCCAGGGCCUCACAUCCUUGUAGACAAUCACCCAGCUCUUAGAAAGUAGAUUUCUAGCUACCCUCUUUCCUCUGCAGCUUGACUCUAAGUCUCUCAGAAACAUUUAUUUCUUUACAAAACUUUUACCUUGGAGCAGUUCUCUAGUAAUUCCAAACCAAAGGCAAGUAAUGCUCUCAUUAUCAUAAUCACUUCAUCAGUCUACAUUUUAAUGAAGGCAUAUUCUCAAACCCUUUUCAAAACCCAAAUCAGAGAGGGAUUUUAAAACAAACAAGUUAGCACUACUUUAAAACCCAUUUUCAGUCAUUCUCACAUCCUUAGUACAAAUCCGUUAAAACUUUAGAAGUCAUUAAGGGGUGGCCCUGAAGGGUUUUUGAUUGUCAGGAAGUGUUAUUGAGAUGGAUUUGUUGAAGAGAUGCUUUAUACCAUUCCACAUUCCUGUCAAAGUUUUAUUAGAUUUCUAAACUGAAGAUAAAUACUUUAUUUUUAACCAUAACAAUCUGAGGCUCUGAGAAAGAAAAUGAGAAAGUCAAAUUAUCCUAAACCUUAGUACGGAAGAUGGAAUUGCACACUUUCAAGUAGAACUGACUGUAAUUCAAAUGAAGAAGGACCUCUGCAAAUAACGAACAACAACCACAACUAAAAUUGGGACAAUAAUAUGUGGAAAGAGCUAACCUUCCAAACUGAUUGUUUGAUUUAAUUUCCUUAUUUGGUACAGCUUGAUCUCCUUCCCUCUGGGAAAAAAAAAAUAGUUUUAAAAAAUUUCCCUUAUUAAUUCCUUUACUAUGAUCACAAACCUCAACAGGCAGGCUACUUGAGAAACAGUUCAUAGACCCUCAGAGCUGGAGAAAGCCACAGGGAUUAUCUAGUCCAAACGUCUCUUCAAUACAAGAAUCCUUUCUCUGGUGUCAUUGACAAAGAGAAGCUCAACCAGAUUCUGCUUCAAAGGCUUCAGGGAAAUAACGAGGACUGACAUUUGUAGGUCACUUUGUAGAUAACAAAGCACCUUUAAUCAUAUUGUUCCCCUUAAAUUAUAUUGUAGAUGAUGACAUGGAGAUUUUGAGAGAUUAAAUGACUUGCUGUGAUGACACAACUAACAAAUGGCUGUAUUAAGUCUUUGGACUAAAAAGUCGUAUUUCUUUUCCCUCUUGUCUCCCUGGUGAGAGUCAAGGGAGGCUUUGUUCUUUGCAAGGCAUUCCACUACAGCUGACCCUUGAACAACAUGGGUUUGAACUGCAAGGUCCAUAUAUACUCUGAUUUUUUUCAAUAAAAGUUACACCAAGUGUCCUUACCUCUCCUGCAUCCCCUUCCACCUCCACUACCUCUGCCACCCAAGACAGCAAAACCAACCCCUCCUCUUCCUCCUCCUCCUCUGCCUACUCAACAUGAAGACCAUGGGAUGAAGAUCUUUACAAUAAUCCACUUCCACUUAAUGAAUAGUAAAUAUAUUUUGUCUUCCUUAUGAUUUUUAGUAAUAUUUUCUUUUCUGUAGCUUACUUUAUUGUAAGAAUACAGUGCAAAAUAUAUAUAACACAAAAUAUGUUAACUGACUGCUUGUGUUUUCAAUAAG